rnacentral:rRNA from 1 species
UACAGAGGGGGCAAGCGUUAUUCGGAAUUAUUGGGCGUAAAGGGCGCGUAGGCGGCCUGGCAAGUGGAAGGUGAAAUCCCUCGGCUUAACCGAGGAACUGCCUCCCAAACUGCUUGGCUUGAGACCGGGAGAGGUGAGUGGAAUUCCCAGUGUAGCGGUGAAAUGCGUAGAUAUUGGGAGGAACACCGGUGGCGAAGGCGGCAUCCUGGACCGGUAUUGACGCUGAGGCGCGAAAGCUAGGGGAGCAAACGGG